rnacentral:rRNA from 1 species
CAAUAGCGUAUAUUUAAGUUGUUGCAGUUAAAAAGCUCGUAGUUGGAUUUCGGGUUGGCUUCAGCGGUCUCGCUUUGCGCUUGUACUGCCGCAGCCUUCCUUCUUGCUGGGGACGGUCCUCCGGGCUUCAUUGCUUGGGGUCUGGAAUCAGCGACGUUACUUUGAGUAAAUUAGAGUGUUCAAAGCAAGCCUACGCUCUGAAUAUAAUAGCAUGGGAUAACACGACAGGACUCUGGCCUAUCGUGUUGGUCUGUAGGACCAGAGUAAUGAUUAAGAGGGACAGUCGGGGGCAUUCGUAUUCCGUUGUCAGAGGUGAAAUUCUUGGAUUUACGGAAGACGAACAUCUGCGAAAGCAUUUGCCAAGGAUGUUUUCAUUGA